UUAAAAGAAUUCAGUUCCGAACACAAUGCUGCUUUGCCAUGCACAGAACUGAGGAGGCGAAGCAGAAUUCUUCCUCGGAGCUACUCAAAUCUCAAGUUAAGUAUUACUCUCUCCUUUUUCUUCCACAUAAAUCCACAACCUAUAUACAAUUCCUAAUUCUCUUCUGGCUCAAGGGAAGCUUUAUUAUGUAAUCCAAAUAACUAGAUCACCCUGAAAACCUGACUUUCUAAAAAUAAGCUGUUACUCAUAGCUUUUCUGAGCUAAGUUGCAAAGACCCAGUCCGUCAUUGCCAUCCCAGUAAGGAGGUAAUCCUGAGAGAGAAGUUGGAUGUUGAAAACCACCUUUUGGUUUUAUCCAGUAUUUCUCUUUAAUCAUUAUGGCUUUUAUUGAACCAUGACCUUGGUACAGGUCCACACUUCCCUGGGUAGAGCACCAAGAGAGACCAGACGUCCAGGAAGCCCCAGAUCUCUUCAGGGUGCAGGGAAAUAUGUCUCCUGCACCAUACAGUAGGAUUCUGGAAUUUGCUAGCCAGAAGGGGGCAGGAUUUCAGCAUCUUGACCUGAUGUUCUUCCCUUUCAACAGGCUUGUGUCCCACUAGCACUAAAAUGGUGGGCUGAAGUUUCAUUUUGUAUCCCUUUACCUAUGCAUACCUACCUGUAGAUACCAGUUUGCUUCUGCAUGUAAUUAAAUGCACUAUUGAAAAGGUUUGGAGUUAGUUUAAUUAAUAUGGCAAUUCAGAAUUUAUCUGGAACCUUAGCUGGUUUAUUGGGUCUAUUCUCAUAACAGGUACUUGGUAAAUAAGCCUUACACUGUGUUCUUUGAUUUCCUUGAGAUGCAGACGGGCAUGCUCCGAAAACUUCUAAAGUGUCUCUUUGCAGCAUGCUGCAGGGUCUUUGAGAAUGAGAACAAAGCAGAUUCCAGCUCAGCUCCAUCCUGCAAUGCGUCAUCUAGGUUCCUAAGAAAACAAACGCCUAAGGAAAUCCAACAUUUUGAGGAGUCUAGUGUGAGAGGAGCUUAUGCUUGAAUCAUUGUGUUGGAGAAACAGGGUAUAGUCCAAUACCCUAUGGAGAACAGUAAGUCAUUUUCUUUUACUUUUACUUCUUAAAGUAUACAUAAGAUCUGUAGAGAUAACCUAAAGUC
rnacentral:lncRNA from 1 species